rnacentral:tRNA from 2 species
AGGGGCUUAGGUUAGUACAAGACCAAGAGCCUUCAAAGCCCUAAGCGAGAGUGAAACCCUCCCAGCCCCUA